rnacentral:misc_RNA from 1 species
UUUCCGUAGGUGAACCUGCGGAAGGAUCAUUAUCGUAAAACCGAGGUGCGAGGCCUGUCGCUGACCUUUUCGGUCGUGCACGCCCGAGCGCCCUCACACAAUCCAUCUCACCCCUUGUGCACCACCGCGUGGGUCCCUUUCUGGCUCGUCCGGAGGGGCGCUCGCGUGUUCACACAAACUUGAAGUAGUGUAGAAUGUCCUUUGUUUGCGAUAACACGCAAUCAAUACAACUUUCAACAACGGAUCUCUUGGCUCUC